AAAAUGUUUUCAAUUUAGACUUUUUAUGUAGGAUUUAAUAACAAAUUGGAGCCAGUGUUGUAAAGUGUUGAUCAAUCUUGACUACAAGAUCCAUACCACCGAAGUGUUUUGAAUUUAAGCUUUUUAUGCAGAGCUUGUGGAAAUGAAGGGGGCCCACAGGAUUGGAGGUUAUUCGUUAACAAAUUGCAGCAACUAUUGUAAAAUGUUUAUCCAUUUUCAUUACAAGAGCUUAUAGAAAUGUGUAGCAUACGAAAUUCAAGAAAUACGAAAAGCGAGCGUACGAAACUUCUAGAACAUAGGAGAGAGGCCGCCGCGCGAUGCGAGACGCGAGGCGCGGACCGCGAACUCGCGAACCUUCUCGCCUAACGACGCGACUGUUGACAACCGCGGCCGCGGAUAGCAACCAUGCGAUAUAAAUUGAGGGCUCGUAGAGGCAUUCGGCCUAUUUGCCACUCCGGGAGAGAGGACGAGGUAAGACCAUCGGCCGCUCUCGGAACUCGGCUUAGGGACUCCGACAGGAGAGUUCGGCGAUAAUACCUGGACGCCUGUUGAGUAGGAGAAAACAGAACUACUCGUGGACAUCCCAGUUAGAGCUAGGGGGAGGUUAUUCCUGGACGUCCGUUCGUUUUUUGGAGAGUUCGGCGAUAAUACCUGGACGCCAAUUACGAGCGGGAGAGUACAGAAUGAUUCUUCUAUUUCAAAGAUUGAAAAUUGUAAAAUAUUGUCAAAUGAGAAAUUGUAUUAUGCUUUUCUAUAUAAUUCCGUUCAUUCUAAAUUCCUGUUACAAUUAUCCAUUCCCAAUCCUCUGUAUAACCAUGUUCCUCACAAUAAACCUUUGUCUGUCCAGAAUUCUUUUCCUUGAUUCCUUAACCAUGGCUACAAACGGAGUUAUUUUCGCAUUUCAUCAUUAACAUUAAAAUUUUUUGCAGCAAGA